AACCCCAGGCAACAGAAGAGCCAGACCAACAGGUGUCAACACCACCACAUGAACAUCAUUGCACUGAACUUUUCACUGUUGCCAAGAAGCCCAAAGAGAACAACAAAGGCGAUGGCCCCUUCCUGUCAGCUACAACAUCAGCUCAUAAAUUACCUUCUUCU